rnacentral:lncRNA from 1 species
GUGGCUACCAAGGUCAGGCAACAGGUGUCCAGUUGUUCCCUCUCCUGUCUACGAAUCUGAGGACCUCCCCAGGAUCAGAGCUCUGGGCCUGAUACACGGCCGGGGUUCCUACGGGUUUGUGAGUGGGGGUGGAAGAUCUGCAGAGGCACUUAGGGCUGAACUCCUUUGAAUGGGAGCCAAUCGGUGCAGGGGCUGGAGGAGCGAGUCCCCCAAAGUAGUUUUAUUUAUCUAUUUAGAGACAAGGUCUCACUCUUUCGGAGUGCAGUGGUGAUCACAGCUCACCGUAGCCUCGAACUCCCCAGGCGAUUCUCUCACCUCAGCCUCCCGAGUAGCUGGGACUACGGGUACAUGUCAUCACACUUGGCUAAUUUUUGCAUUUUUUAUAGAGACAGGGUCUCACCAUGUAGGCCAGAUUAGUCUUGAACUCCUGGGCUCAAGCAAUCCGCCCAUCUUGGCCUCCCAAAGUGCUGGGAUUAUAGGUGUGAGCCACCGCGCCCGGCAACCCAGAAGUGGUUUUGACAGCACCAGCGCUUUCUGUGUCCACAAUCUAGUGAGUAGAGGGCACAAAACCUGACACCACGGAGGCAGACAGGCAGGGGCUCUGCCGGGGAAGGGUGUUGGAGUCCCAAAGGAGGCGUCUGAGUCACCUUCGCAACCUGGGACGCCUUCUUGCAUAAGAUGCCUGAGCAGUGCCUUGAAUGACCAAGGGGAGAUCCGCAUCUGCAAAGGAAGGGCAGGGAGGGAUAGGGAUUGGGGGUGGGCAUCCUAGGUCUUGGAGACUGUGUGGGCAAAUGUGCAGAGACAUAAAGGGACUAUGGCUGAGGGAAAUCAAGCCCUGCCCUCUCACCAAUAGGGCUGGCGCUGGUCCCAGCUAACACUCCUUUUGGAGAGCAAAGCUCCUCACUUCUGAGUAGUGAGAUUGAUUGCGGAUCACUCUCCAUGUUGCUGCCUGCUGUGUGUCAUCCCACUGUCAUCCUCCCUUUGUGGCUGUUCUGUGGAGCCCCUCUCCCUCAAUCUGCACUCACCUCUAUGCCCCAGCCCCAUUGGCAGCUCCUAAUGCACUCCCGGUAAAAAAAAAAAAACAAAAACCAGAUGUUAGUGAUAGUGGUGGUAGUUCUUCUCUCCACCUCCAAAUCUUGCCCUUGCCUCCUAAUAAGACCCCUAUGUGGUUUAACCUCAUUUUUUUUUUUUUUUUUUUUUUUUGAGAUGGAGUUUCACUCUGUCACCCAGGCUGGAGUGAAGUGGUGUGAUGGGGCUUCACCAUGUGAUGGGGCUUCACCAUGUUGGCCAGGCUGGUAUCAAACUCCUGACCUCUAGUGAUCUGCCCGCCUCAGCCUCCCAAAGUGCUGGGAUUACCGGCAUGAGGCACCGUGCCCAGCCUAUCCUCCUUCUCUUAUCAGCUCCCAACUAGAGGUCCACCCAGGACCCAGAGACCUGGAUUUGAGGCUGCUGGGCGGCAGAUGGAGCGAUCAGAAGACCAGGAGACGGGAGCUGGAGUGCAGUGGCUGUUCACAAGCGUGAAAGCAAAGAUUAAAAAAUUUGUUUUUAUAUUAAAAAAGUUUUUAGAGAUGGGGGUCUCACUUUGUGGCCCAGCCUGCAGUGCAGUGGCGCGAUCAUAGCUCCCUGCUGCCUCGACUUCCUAGGCUCAAGGGACCCUCCUGUCUUGGCCUCUGAGUAGCUGAGACUACAGGUAUGCUCCACCACACCCGGCUAAUUUCUUUACUUUUUUGUAGGGACAGGGUCUCAUCAUUUUGCCCAGGCUGGUCUGGAACUCUUGAGCUCAAGUGAUCCUCCUGCCUUGGCCUCCCAAAGUGCUGGGAUUACAGGCAUGAGCCACCACAGCCAGUCAAGAUUUUUUAACAGGACAGGACUGUCUAACAGGAUUGUCUAAUAGGACAUAAAAUACACUAACUAUAAAGGAAAGUAUUGAUAAAUUGGAUUACAUAAUGAUUGAGAACCUUCUUUUAUCAAAAGACAUUAAAAGUGGGAGAAGAUACUCUAAGAUAGAACAUCCAUGGACUCAUAUCCUGAAUACAUACUACAAAUCAAUAAAAUAUACACAAACAGAUAAAUGGGGCAAGAGAUUCGAAUAGUUACUUCACAAAAGAGAACAUUCAAAUAAUAUUGAAAAGGUGCUCAACCUCUUUAGUCAUCAGGGAAAUGCAAAUUGAAAAAAAUAAAUACUGGCUAGGUGAGGCGACUCACAUCUGUAAUCCCAGCACCUUGGGAGGCUGAGAUGGACAGAUCACUUGAGGCCAGGAGUUUGAGACCAGCCUGGCCAGCAUGGCAAAACCCUGUCUUUACUCAAAGCACAAAAGUUAGCCGGGCAUGUUGGCCCACGCCUGUGGUCCCAGCUACUUGGGAGGCUGAGGCAUGAGAAUCGCUUGAACCCAGGAGGAGGAGGAUGCAGUGAGCUGAGAAUGCACCACUGGACUCCAUCCUGGGCAACAGAACAAGACUUUACCUCCCAAAAAAAAGGUGGAGAGGGGAGGACUACUGCACUCUACCAGGAUAGCGAAAAUAAAAAUGACUUGACAAUACCAAGUUUUGGGAAAGAUAGAAGCUUGAACUGUCUGACACUACUGAAGGAGCAUACAUUGGUACAACUACUUUGGAAACCUAUUUGGCAGUAUCUGCCUGUGACCGUGAAAUUCCACUCUUUAUUUGGGAAUAUACCCUCCUAAAAUAAUGCGUAUGAGCAACAUGAAGACAUGUACAACAGUGCUCCUGGCAGCAGUAUUUGCAACAGACAAAAAUUGGAAACAACUGAAAGGUCAUCAACAGUGGAUGGAUACGCUGGGUGUGGUGGCUCAUGCCUGUAAUCCCAGCACUUUGGGAGGCCAAGGAGGGUGGAUCACCCGAAGUCAGGAGUUUAAGACCAGCCUGGCCAACAAGGAGAAACCUUGUCUCUACUAAAAAUACAAAAAUUAGCUGGGUGUGGUGGCGCACGCCUGUAAUCCCAGCUACUCAGGAGGCUGAGACAGAAUUACUUGACCCCUCAUCCUGGGGUUGGCCUUAUGCAUGUGCAGCUUAUGGCUCAGCACAUAUGCCAAAGACACGGUGCCAGCACUUUUUUUUUUUUUUUUGAGUUGGGGUCUCACUCUCACCCAGGCUGGAGUGCAGUGGUGCAAUUGCUCCUGAGCAUAAGUGAUUCUUCCACCUCAGCCUCCCGAGUAGCUAGGACUACAGGUGUGGGCCACCACGCCCAGCUAAUUUUUGUAUUUUUUGUAGGGAUGGGGUCUUCCUAUGCUGUCCAGGUUGGUCUCAAACUCCUGGGCUCAAGCGAUUUUCCCUCUACGGCCUCCCAAAGUGCUAGGAUUACAGGUGUGAGCCACCUGCACACUUACACACCCAUUCCUAGCUGCAGCUUCAGAAACUUCUGACCCAGGAAGUCAGCCCAAACCCCCUCACUGUCCCCCAAAAUUUGAGUUCUUCUCAACUCUACCCAAACACUCCCCUUUCUUGGGGUGGCUUAAUGCUCUGUCUCAUUGCCCUUCCUACUGCCUACCCACAUAUCACAUCUACCAACCUUCCACGCAGCCAUAGACGUGUUCUAUCAAAGACAGUUCCCUCCCCAAGAGGACUUCUCUGACUAAUCAUAAUCUGCCUUUGGUUGUAAUUUUGUGUUGUGAGGCCACCACAAGGGUGUUUGCUGAAGAGGUCCUGGAGUCCCCUCAGAGCACGCUUGCUACCAGGAGUCAGCAUGUAUGUAACUUCAUCAGCUGGGGCUUCUGCUUCUCUUACAAACAGGUGCCAGGGCCCACCUUGGGCACUCCUGCAGAAGUGAGCAGAGGCUUCUGCCAUGGGGCCAUACCUUGUUUGACCUAGGUGCCAGCACUGGGACAGAUGGCACAGCACAGUCCUGCCGUUCCCACAGGGUUUGUGUGUGCAUCAUGACAGGAAACACAGCAAGUCACAAAGGCUGUCCGAUGUCCCUGCCUCAGCUUCCUGAGGACCUGUGCUUUUUACUGAAAUACACUAUCUCAUAAGAAUACUUCCCUGCCUUCCGCACCCCAGUGAGAAAGGAGUUGUGACUGGAAGUCAGUGUCAUUGACUUUGGAUAUGAAAAGGAGGCAGAAUGUCUCCAGGGUUAAAAGUAGUAACCAGGCCAGGCGUGGUGGCUUAUGCGUGUAAUCCCAGCAUUUUGGGAGGCGGAGGUGAGUGGGUCACCUGAGGUCAGGAGUUCAAGACCAGCCGGGCCAACAUGGCGAAAUCCCAUCUGUACUGAAAAUACAGGAAUUAGCCGGGUGUGGUGGCAGGCGCCUGUAAUACCAGCUACUGGGGAGGCUGAGGCAGGAAGAAUUGCUUGAACCCAGGAGGUUAAGGGUUGCAGUGAGCCAAGAUCACACCACUGCACUCCAGCCUGGGUGACAGAACACGAUUCCAUCUGAAAAAAAAAAAAAAAAAAAAAAGCGGGGGCUGGGCGCGGUGGCUCACACCUGUAAUCCCAGCACUUUGGGAGCCUGAGACAGGUGGAUCGUCUGAGAUCAGGAGUUCGAGACCAGCCUGACCAACAUGGUGAAACCCCGUCUCUACUAAAAAUACAAAAAUUAGCUGGAUGUGGUGGUGGGCACCUGUAAUCCCAGCUAUUCGGGAAGCUGAGGCAGAGGAAUCAUCGCUUGAACCUGGGAGGUAGAGGUUGCAGUGAGCCGAGAUCACACCAUUGCAUUCCAGCCUGGGUGACAAGAGCAAAACUCCGUCUCAAAAAGAAAAAAAAAAAAAGUUAGUAACCAGGUUGUGUCCCACAGAGCUUUACUGGGGGCCAAACACUGUCAACCCCUCCUCAGGUCCCAGUGAGUUUGUGCACCUGGCCUUCUGACAGUAAGCGGUGAGCAGGGCAUCCCCCACCAGGACCCCAUACUUUCCUCCCAUGGGUUUCCUAUGGAAUGUUGCUGCUUCAACUUCUGAGAGCCUCUUGCUGGGGGGCCCCAUCCCUAGCCCUUGCCUCCCUGUGCUGCUUUACCUUCUUUUUGGGAGGAUAACUGCCCUCUGUUUUCAGCACCCCAAUAAGAAAGAAAAAGUCAUGACCAGAAGUCAGUGUCAGUGAUUGCUGAUGUGUGGAAACAUCUGAUGAAUGAAGAGUUUGGGUAAAAAAUAAAGGGAACUGAUGAAAACCACUUGUGUGUGAAGCCUAUAUAGUGGUGUGUGCCUGUAGUCCCAGCUACUCGGGAAGCUGAAGUGGGAGGACUGCUUGAGCACAGGAGUUGGACAUCAGCCUUGAAAAGAUAGUGAGACUCAAUCUAGAAAACAGAAACAACACUUCUGACUGGUGUCUGCCUGUGGGUUUCUGACUCUGCUCCCAAACUUAUGGUGAGAACUUCUUUGCUAACUUGAGAGUCUGCAAGAGUGAAGUUUUUGCCAAAUUUUGGCCCUUAGUUCCUCUAAAACACUAAUGGAAACGUAACCCCAUGCUUGUUAAGACCCUCCUUCUGCCCUACCAUGAUUACCAGAUCUCUGCUGAGGUUGCAAGAUGAGGUGAUCUUGCUGGAAACAAGGACAAAUGGGGGAAGAAAAUAGGGCUGGACAGGCCCAAGCAUUCAGAGGCCAGGGCUGGGGGUAGGUAGGGGCCUGCUUCAUUUGAGAACAACUAUGAAGGACAAUAGGGUUUCAACAGGGGAGAGAGUAGCGGUAUUCAAAGCAAAGCAAAAGAUGUAAGUGAAAGAUGUAAGCGGGCCGGUGCGAUGGGUCACGCCUAUAAUCCCCGUACUUUGGGAGGCCAAGGCAGGAGGAUCACCGGAACUGAGGUGUUUGAGACCUGCUUGAGCAACAUAGUAGGACCCUGUCUCUACCAAAAAAAAAAAAAAAAAUUAAAUUAGCUGGGCAUGGUGGCUACUGUAGUUUCAGCUACUCAGGAGGCUGAGGCAGGAGGAUCACUUGAGCCUGGGAGGUCAAGGCUACAGUGAGCCUGGGUAACAGAGUGAGACUGUCUCAAAAAAAAAAAAAAGGAGAAAAAGAAAGAUGUAAGUGUGUAAGUGAAGCCUGGAGAUGCAGACACCUGCGAAUGGGCUGCUGAGGGGCACUUGGCUAUGGCUGGGGCUCAGGAAAAGUGGAGCUCAGGGAAGAGAGGCUAGAACAGGGCUCAAAGGGCCUUGAAGGCCAGGCCUGUCAGGGUCCAUCACCUCCUCAGGCUGGAGAAGUCAGUGCAAGCUGCAGUGAUGGGGUCCUGAGGCCCCAGUACUUCUGCCCAUCCUCUCCCACUGUCUCCCAAGAUCAUACAGGGAAGCCUGUUUCCAGAUGCCUGUGAUUUAUUUCCAAAGGAGAGCUACAGCACAUAGGAAAAUACACAUGGCUUUUCAGUCUACAUUUUUACAGAGAAAAGAGAUUCG